rnacentral:rRNA from 1 species
CGCAAGCCUGAUGGAGCAACACCGCGUGAGUGAAGAAGGGUUUCGGCUCGUAAAGCUCUGUUGUUAAAGAAGAACACGUAUGAGAGUAACUGUUCAUACGUUGACGGUAUUUAACCAGAAAGUCACGGCUAACUACGUGCCAGCAGCCGCGGUAAUACGUAGGUGGCAAGCGUUAUCCGGAUUUAUUGGGCGUAAAGAGAGUGCAGGCGGUUUUCUAAGUCUGAUGUGAAAGCCUUCGGCUUAACCGGAGAAGUGCAUCGGAAACUGGAUAACUUGAGUGCAGAAGAGGGUAGUGGAACUCCAUGUGUAGCGGUGGAAUGCGUAGAUAUAUGGAAGAACACCAGUGGCGAAGGCGGCUACCUGGUCUGCAACUGACGCUGAGACUCGAAAGCAUGGGUAGCGAACAGGAUUAGAUACCCUGGUAG